GGAAGUAAAGUCGUAACAAGGCUUCCGUAGGUGAACCUGCGGAAGGAUCAUUAUUGUAUAACCGAGGUGCGAGGGCUGUCGCUGACCCGAAAGGUCGUGCACGCCCGAGUGCCCUCACACACAUCCAUCUCACCCCUAUGUGCACCACCGCGUGGGUCCCCCUUUGGCUUGUUCGGAGGGGGGCUUACGUUUUCACACAAACUUUGUAUGCAGUGUAGAAUGUAUUUUUUGUUUUUGCGAUCACGCAAUCAAUACAACUUUCAACAACGGAUCUCUUGGCUCUC
rnacentral:misc_RNA from 1 species